UACGUAGGGCGCAAGCGCUGUCCGGAAUUAUUGGGCGUAAAGAGCUCGUAGGCGGCUUGUCACGUCGGAUGUGAAAGCCCGAGCUUAACCUCGGGUCUGCAUUCGAUACGGGCUAGCUAGAGUGUGGUAGGGGAGAUCGGAAUUCCUGGUGUAGCGGUGAAAUGCGCAGAUAUCAGGAGGAACACCGGUGGCGAAGGCGGAUCUCUGGGCCAUUACUGACGCUGAGGAGCGAAAGCGUGGGGAGCGAACAGG
rnacentral:rRNA from 1 species